UCUUCAAAACCGAGUUUUAGCCUCUGAGAAGUUCUCUCACAGAUGAGGGUGAGAGCACAGAUGAAGAUGGGUCGGACAUUGAGGAAAUGGGUAAAAAAUUUGGAAAAUAUGUUGGCAAACAAAAAGACUAGCACACAGCUUUCCCUUGAGAAGGAAGAACAAGAGAGGCGAGAGUUGCAAAAACUUAUGAUGGGUGAAGUUGAUGAUAAAAAAUCAGACAAGAAAAAGGAUGAAGAAGAUAUCCCAAUCGCUUAGUGGUUUUCCUGGUAUAAACAACAAGGUAAUCACAUCUCAAUUUUCUAUAUUCUUAUUUUGUGCAAGAGUAUCUUUGCUAAUGUGUAAAAUGCUUGGUUGUAUGUGCUGGAAUGCAUAAUGCAGUCAGCAAAUUUUAACAGAUGCACAGAACAUUAAAAAAUCUUAUAUGCCAAAAAAAUGAAUCCCGCUAUCCCGUUUUUUUUUUAUUAUACUGCAUCUAUUACAUUCAGUCUCUCUAAUUUUGCAGUUUUAUUACUGCUAAAAUAUAAUGUUGCUCACAAGUGAUAAAGAUAAAUGAAUAAACUCAUAGUAAUAAAAUUUCCUAAAAUCCUGAUAAGCAUGUACAAAAGGUUUCACGUCACCUCUUAACCCGCAUAAUUUUGGCAGCAGUCUGUAUCAAGUAUUCUCAAGUUUCCUGUUUCUCUGCAGGCUUUUUUUUUUCCUCAUCAUUUUUAAGGAGCUUAGCACAGAGAGAGAUGUUAGAAACUCACCCGAUAUACACAUAAUCUUGCUAACUGUUUCCAACCUUUUUCAUUCAGGAUUUCAGUCAUUUUUUCAGUGUUUGUUUUUGCCUAUUUUUUCUCUAUGCAAAAAAAAAAAAAAAAAAAAAAAAAAAAAAAAAAAAAAAAAAAAAAAAAAAAAAAGAAUGUUUUGAAAGCAACAGAAGCUCAUGAGAAAGAUUGAUGACAGUUUUGUAAGAUUGGUGGUCUAUUAAGUUGGUUUUGCCUUUAUCUCUGUCUAUCAAACCUGGUUGCUGAUAGUGGAGAGAAAAAAUGCCUGCAUUAUCUCUUUCUAGUCAAACCUGGUUGCUGAUGGUGGGAGAGAAAAAAUGCCUGCAUUAUCUCUUUCUAGUCAACCUGGUUGCUGAUAGUGGAGAGAAAAAAUGCCUGCAGAUGUGGGAACUUUGAAAACAAAAUUUUUAUUGAGGAGUGAAUUUCAGAUUUUUUUGGUGUUCAUUGUCACGUAUGUGUAAUUUUAUCUCUAGAAAGUAUAUUCAUUUAUUGUAUCUGUAGUGUGUAACAGGCAUAUUUAUGUUUUUGACAAAGUCAACCUCCUCAAUAAUGUGCCCGAAAAACUGAAUGUAAAGUUUCUCAAUAUCUUUUCAAGUUUUUAAACCUUU
rnacentral:lncRNA from 1 species